rnacentral:rRNA from 1 species
AUGAACGCUAGCUACAGGCUUAACACAUGCAAGUCGAGGGGCAGCAUGGUCUUAGCUUGCUAAGGCCGAUGGCGACCGGCGCACGGGUGAGUAACACGUAUCCAACCUGCCGUCUACUCUUGGACAGCCUUCUGAAAGGAAGAUUAAUACAAGAUGGCAUCAUGAGUCCGCAUGUUCACAUGAUUAAAGGUAUUCCGGUAGACGAUGGGGAUGCGUUCCAUUAGAUAGUAGGCGGGGUAACGGCCCACCUAGUCUUCGAUGGAUAGGGGUUCUGAGAGGAAGGUCCCCCACAUUGGAACUGAGACACGGUCCAAACUCCUACGGGAGGCAGCAGUGAGGAAUAUUGGUCAAUGGGCGAGAGCCUGAACCAGCCAAGUAGCGUGAAGGAUGACUGCCCUAUGGGUUGUAAACUUCUUUUAUAAAGGAAUAAAGUCGGGUAUGGAUACCCGUUUGCAUGUACUUUAUGAAUAAGGAUCGGCUAACUCCGUGCCAGCAGCCGCGGUAAUACGGAGGAUCCGAGCGUUAUCCGGAUUUAUUGGGUUUAAAGGGAGCGUAGAUGGAUGUUUAAGUCAGUUGUGAAAGUUUGCGGCUCAACCGUAAAAUUGCAGUUGAUACUGGAUAUCUUGAGUGCAGUUGAGGCAGGCGGAAUUCGUGGUGUAGCGGUGAAAUGCUUAGAUAUCACGAAGAACUCCGAUUGCGAAGGCAGCCUGCUAAGCUGCAACUGACAUUGAGGCUCGAAAGUGUGGGUAUCAAACAGGAUUAGAUACCCUGGUAGUCCACACGGUAAACGAUGAAUACUCGCUGUUUGCGAUAUACUGCAAGCGGCCAAGCGAAAGCGUUAAGUAUUCCACCUGGGGUGUACGCCGGCAACGGUGAAACUCAAAGGAAUUGACGGGGGCCCGCACAAGCGGAGGAACAUGUGGUUUAAUUCGAUGAUACGCGAGGAACCUUACCCGGGCUUAAAUUGCAGAUGAAUUACGGUGAAAGCCGUAAGCCGCAAGGCAUCUGUGAAGGUGCUGCAUGGUUGUCGUCAGCUCGUGCCGUGAGGUGUCGGCUUAAGUGCCAUAACGAGCGCAACCCUUGUUGUCAGUUACUAACAGGUUCCGCUGAGGACUCUGACAAGACUGCCAUCGUAAGAUGUGAGGAAGGUGGGGAUGACGUCAAAUCAGCACGGCCCUUACGUCCGGGGCUACACACGUGUUACAAUGGGGGGUACAGAGGGCCGCUACCACGCGAGUGGAUGCCAAUCCCCAAAACCUCUCUCAGUUCGGACUGGAGUCUGCAACCCGACUCCACGAAGCUGGAUUCGCUAGUAAUCGCGCAUCAGCCACGGCGCGGUGAAUACGUUCCCGGGCCUUGUACACACCGCCCGUCAAGCCAUGGGAGCCGGGGGUACCUGAAGUGCGUAACCGCGAGGAGCGCCCUAGGGUAAAACUGGUGACUGGGGCU